rnacentral:rRNA from 1 species
AUUGAACGCUGGCGGAAUGCUUUACACAUGCAAGUCGAACGGCAGCACGGACUUCGGUCUGGUGGCGAGUGGCGAACGGGUGAGUAAUACAUCGGAACGUGCCCAAUCGUGGGGGAUAACGUAGCGAAAGCUACGCUAAUACCGCAUACGAUCUAAGGAUGAAAGCGGGGGAUCGCAAGACCUCGCGCGAUUGGAGCGGCCGAUGGCAGAUUAGGUAGUUGGUAGGGUAAAGGCCUACCAAGCCGACGAUCUGUAGCUGGUCUGAGAGGAUGAUCAGCCACACUGGGACUGAGACACGGCCCAGACUCCUACGGGAGGCAGCAGUGGGGAAUUUUGGACAAUGGACGCAAGUCUGAUCCAGCCAUUCCGCGUGCAGGAUGAAGGCCCUCGGGUUGUAAGCUGCUUUUGUACAGAACGAAAAGGCCCUGGUUAAUACCUAGGGCUCAUGACGGUACUGUAAGAAUAAGCACCGGCUAACUACGUGCCAGCCGCCACAGUAA